CUUUAAGCUCAGGCCAUGGGCGUUGUGUCUCUCUUGCCCUAGGGAAAGCUAGGUAGGGCUAGUGAGCUCUGGUAGUGCCUUCAGGAUCCUGACAGCAUGAAUGUACCAGAAUCUUGUUUGAGAUAAAUGCACCCCAGCAGGUACAUUGAGUACUGAGCCACCACAGGUAUAAGCAGUGUUCAUACAAGUGUGAGAGCUCUCAACAGACAGCUGUGAAAGUAAAUGGGAGCUGUGUGAAAGCACUUGAGAGGGAGCAGGAACAAAACAAGCACUGGGCAGAGGAGCUGCAGAUCCUGAGGUGGAGCAGAAACGUUCCUCAUGGUGCCAGAAGUCACAAACUAACUUCCAGCCUUUACCAUCCUGGGAGUGUCUGCUUCCCACCCUGGCAGGCACAGGCUCUGCUUGACGCUUCCUCAAGAAAGUUGUUUGUUUGGACAUUAAAAGCUGCAAUCUUGGAGGAGAUAUGGUUAAUUUCUCAUCUCUGAUGCUGUGCAGUCUGCUGACCUCCUCCUGCAGCCCCUUAGCUUGGUGGAGCAGCUCCUCAAUGACCACACAUCUCCUGUGGGCUGGAAGGUGAUCUCCCACAGCUUCUUCCUCAGCAAGAGGCUCCAGGCACCCCCAGCAGCCCCAGACCUGCAGCACUGCCUCCAGCACUGAAUAACUAGGGUUAUUCAGCAGAAACUUGCUUUUCAGGUACAUGUUAGUACUUUAUGUUUGGAUGCUUGACUUACUGCAAAAAAAUACCACUUCAGAGUGCCAAAAUCUGCCUAGGCAUUCAGCAGGAAAGAAGUCAAAGAAAAAACUUGCCAGGGAGAACAUGGCAACAUUUGUGAGCCUGGAGUGCAGUGAACCUAAAAAAUAAUGGGAGGAUGAUUAACAGACAAGCUGCUAGCUAUUGCAUAGAUCAUCAUGCAAAUAGUUUUCCGGUAUUACCAGCUGGAUAUUGCUGCAGUGGGCAGGCUGCAACAGAGUCCUUCAGUUUGGCUAUUUCUGUGGGGAUUUGGAGAUAUUUGUAUAAAUGUACACAAUUACCGGCUCAGAGUUUACCUGCAGCAGGAGUGAUUCUAGAGAUUGUAACCUUCUACAUGCCAAAUGCGGGAAUAAAUUUCUGUUCUAUUUUAGCGUGCUCUGUACCUACUUAACUACUGUUCUCCAUUCCACUUUUGCUCUUAUACUGCCGUUAG